UGUGUGGUUAUCAGGAGCAAUGGGUGCCAAAGGCACAAAUCUUACAGCUGUGUGAGGGGAAGCAACAACAGUCGUCUGAAUACAGAAUUAUUUGCAUCCCAUCUUUGUCCUAGUGUGUCUGUAAAAGAAAAACAAUCCCCUUUUGUUCCUAAUGUCUAAGGAAAAACAUCAUAAACCAAAAAAUCCCUCCAAGUUGCUGCUAAAUUUCCUUUGUGGUGUCUGUAGCAAUCCCUUAAAGGGUUAGCUCCGAGGAUUUCUUAAUUUUGCAAGGACAACACAGGAAACGACUACAACUGUGCUGGAUCUGGCUCUGCAGGAAAUUUUACUACCAUGACUCUUUCAUCUCUCUCCUGGUUUGAAGAUAAAUGAUCCUUGGACUCUUCUGGACCCACAUAAAUCACAAAAGCAAUCUACUAAGAGAGCUGCCUGUGGCAUCGACUUCAGCAGGAAUUGAAAAGGACAGUCAAAAAUAUCCAUAGUGCUUACACAAGGAGUAACAGAGCUGGAGUAAUCCAAUGCCUUCUCCUUUUGGCAAGCAGGGACCACGGCAUGGAGAAGAGGAAGAUGGUGGGAACAUGGCACUGGGCUGCUGGGUGUGUUCAGAGUGGAAAUCUGCUGGGAAAAGCGUGGUGGCCUCCUCCUGCCAUUGCUAUUGAUGCUACAGGGUGGAAGGGCCACGCAAAUACUUUUGGAACAGGAGAUGUGACACGGUGGAAGAGAAAAUCACAAGAAAUUGUUAUUGCCUGAAAGCAUUUUAACAACUUUUGGUUUUUAUUAUGUCUCAAAAAAUUUAAAGGAAACAAAACUAAAUCAUUAGGCUUGCAGAAUAGAGUGACUCCUGUAAAACACAAUCACAAGCAGUUGUGAUAUUAGCAGCCACCCCUUCAGCAUUCUGGUUACGUAGGCACUGAAUGAGAAAGGCAGAAGGGUAUGUUUGGAAAGGAAACCAAUUUUUCACAGGUUCCUCCCUGCACAGUGGGAGACCACAGACUGAGAAGAGCUGACUACCCUUCCGGUAGCAAUAAUGCAACUGUGCUAUUCAUAGCGAGACAGAAAAACACCAGCUGAUUUUCUUUGCAUCAUAAUCUGGUAACCUCGGAAUUAACCUUGCUGGACACAGAUCUGUUAACUUUCACCAUGCUUCUCCCAUUAAACUAGUGAAGGCUGUGACAGAAAUAGCUGCCCACAGCUGUUAUGAAUUGAUACGUUCCCUGACGAUGCUUGGCGCUGCCUGCAGAAAAAAAUUUCUUAUUUCAUGCUCUGCCAUGAAGUCAACCUUUUUAUUUCUUUUAUUUUUUCUAUUUUUAAUAUUCUUUCAUUGCAAACUGACGGUAUUAGACUGCUGUGCUAUGCUUUGCUUGGAAUAGAAAGCAGACGUGUUCUUUGAGUCUGCUCCACAGUGGUAACUCCAUACCUGAUAUUUUCAGUUUAGGAAAGGAAGGGUGGAGGGUGCUGGCAGGACUGAGAAGCUGCAAGUGCAUCAAGUUACACCGGAGUAUGCCCCGCACUUCCAGUGCUAACAGGGAGCCACAGACCCUGAGAUGUCCCAGCCCAGCUGGCAAUGACACAAAGAAAGGCAUCAGUCCACUUGAGGCCACCAUCCUGAGAGCACCAGCUCACACACAGCCACGGGUUCAGUGCGUGCUCAGAACGGAAAUCCCCAAAUCUGCAAACAGCACAAAAAUGGCAAAAUCCCCAUAUCUGCAAAGCCACCUCUGCAAACUGGUUUGUGUAUGUACCAAACAAACACAGAUCUUUAGAAACACAUUAACACCUGCUUAGGACUCCUUGGGCCUGGCCACCCUGGCUGAAGGACAUUUAAGCACUGGUUGAGUGCCAUUUCCACAAAGUAAAGCUUUUAUAAAUCUUUUUGAGCCCUGGUUGAAAAAUUGACUUAAUUACCAACAGUCAGAUUGUGUCCUUGGGACAUACAGCACAUUUAUAGAAAACAAAGUAUGGGAAGAUGUCUAAAGUGAGAACAGUGACAGCAAAACCCACAUGAACUCCUGACUUGCUGGCAAGAACAUUUGCAGGGUACAGACAAAGCAGCCCAGGUGCCAGGAUCAUCUGCUCAGCACUUGGCAAUGAGACACCCAGACACGAGGGACCUGCCUGCAGCCGUCUGCAUUGCAAAGCACCCCAACCUGCCCAUGCACAGCAGCAGCAUUUUGUGAAGCUGCAUCACUGCAGGGCAUCCUGGGGUGGGAAACUCAUCCAUCCCCCCCAGAUUCAGGUACCCCACUCUGUCCUGUGCUGUCCACAGGCUGUCCCCAGGGGUGGCAGCCACUGGGCACAUGGCUGCUCUGCCCACUGGCACAAAACCAGCUGCGCUCCCCCACCCGCAGAU